CCCUAUGGGGUGCAGCAGGCCAAUGUUCACAAAAAUCCGGCGCCUUUGAAGAUAGUCGAUGAUAUGUUGCAGGACCUUCGCGAUGCCUGGGCGAAAAUGCUUGUAAAGAAAAAUGAUGAGGGUUCCUCGCAAGAAGCCGAUGCGGCUUCCGAUGCUACUGAGGAAAAAGAGGCCCCUUCUCCCGGAGAGCGCGUUGGCGGAAGUUUGAACGCAAGCGCCUAAUAUCAUUAUAAAGGUUGCUUUUUGGCCGAUUCCGGUCCAGCAUCAUAUCUUUGUCAAAUGAGUACGCCAGAAGAAAAAGUAAAGGUUUUGGCGGGGGAACUCGAAAAGUUUAUCGCUGAUGAACUUUUUGCCAUCGAACAGGAGGAUUGGGACUUUUUCGGGGUGCUUCUGGAGAAGAAAGAACGGCACUUGAAGGAAUUGGCGGGAGGGC
rnacentral:rRNA from 1 species